rnacentral:tRNA from 1 species
UUUCUGGUGGCUCAGAUGGUAAAGAAUCUGCCUGCAAUGCAGGAGACCCGGGUUUAAUUCCUGGUUAGGAAG